CACAGCACAGCACCCUACACAGCCCAGUAGAUGGGCACUGACCAUGCUCUGCUGUUGUCAUCCAGAGCAGGGACAAGCUGCCCUUCUGGGAGAACGGGACGGGGAGGAAGGAGGCCUGGCAGAACGGCUGGCACGGCUAUGACAAUGAGCUCAUGGACAUGAGAGGCUUCUUCCUUGCGUAUGGGCCAGAUUUCCGAUCCAACUUCCGAGCGCCUCCCAUCAGAUCCGUGGAUGUUUACAACAUCAUGUGCAGCCUGGCAGGGAUACAGCCGCUGCCCAACAAUGGCUCCUGGUCCAGGGUGGAGUGCAUGCUCCGAAACACGGCCCCCUUGGCACCGCUGGCCCCGCGCAGCAGCUGUGCCCUGCUGCCAGCUCUGCUGUCCCUGCUGGCCGUGCGGAUCUCCUUACUGUGACCCCCAGCAACGCCGGGCAGUGUCACCAGCAGCGCCACCCCUCUCUUUUCUUCUUCGUUUGAAUAAUAGCUUCAUUAAUAGAGUGCUGCCUCCCACUGCUCAGUCGUGCUCCACCAGGGAAUCUGACCCAUCCUGCCUUUACAGCGGUUAUGACAUGAAGCCAGGUUCUAUGCUGCUCCAAACACAGCCAGGGAAGUCAGUGUUGCUACUCCAGAUUUACAGCACUGGCCGCAAAAGCAGAAUCCACAAAAUUUCUGGUGGGUGCACAUGAGAUAUUUGAGCACCAAAUGCACCUGAAACCAGCAACUGAGAGGCUCACUGGGCUCCCGGUCCUGAGAAGCUCAGGGUGGAGAUACACCUCUGUGCAUCUAACUGGGUUCUUUCUGAUUUACUCCUUCAUCUCCAGCUCCCUCACGAGCACAACCCCAACUUCUCCUUACAGUGCCAAGCCCUGUCUACGCUGUCGCGUUCUUCAGAGAGCCAAGCACUUUGCUGAGUGGUCAUAACGCCGAGAGAGGUAAUCGGUGGGAGAGCAGUGAGAGCAUCCUACUUCUAUCAGCCCCUCCUUCUUCAUUUUCUACAAAGUGAGGCCUGGCCCUGUGCACCUCCAGGGCCAGGCUUUCCUCAUGGACCAUGGCAGCAGGGACGGCUAGGAAAGGGAAGAGUGAUAGAAAUCCUCCACUUCAAAAACAGGACGGUGAAAAGGCAUCUGGACACCCAGGGGUCAGGAGAAAGAAGGAUGAGGAAGCCUGGCACUUAACAGCCUCUCUGCUUCUUCUGGUGAAGAUAAUUCCAUCUGCUCAGGUGUUGGGGUUUUGUACCCAAUUGUGUUCCUGAAGGCUUUUCAACACUUACUGCUUUUCUACCGGCUCCUGCUCUCCAUUGCUGCCUCCUGAGCAGCACAUGCCCCUCUAUCCUGCAGCAGGGAGAGAGGUCUGUACUGAUGGAUCUCCCACGCUCUCAGUUAAUCCUAGCUAAUAUUUCCACCACAGGCUAUCAAGACCAAGCAAAGUUGUAACAGUAAAGUUAAAUAGCGGGAAAGAAUAGAGCUGUUGUUGGAGGUGCCUUUGGGAGUGCUCAGCGCUUGUUCCGAUAUACCUCUGAACCAGGAGCUUUCCAUGACAAACUGCCUUUGGAAGGAUUUAGGUCCCUCCCCAUGCAAAAUAAACCUCUAGAACUUACUAUUCCUGUGGAUCCAGAGACAAGCACGAUGUGUGUGUAUGUGUGGUGCACUGUGUGUAAGGGUGAAUGAUUACACCGCAGAAAAAAAAAACCAAACACCAAAUUAAACUUGACAAAAGACUUUGUAAUAGCCAUAAAGAUUUAUGUAAUGUGUUUUUAAAGCUCAAGUGAACCAUCAAAUCAAUUAGGGGAAGAAAAAGGGAGAAAAUCAGUCUUUGUUAUUAGAUUGUUGAGUGUAAAAGGCAAUUUAGUGCUUUUGAAGCAUUUGCAGUAGCUGUAAAACAAGCACCUGUUGUUCAGAGUUCCCUGUUGCUCUUUAAUGGUCCAGGCUCAAUGAAUUUGCCAGAGCAUAUUUUUAAAGCAAAAAAAAAAAAAAAAAAUUAUCAAUAUACAAGAAACCAAAUGACUAAAUUAUCAAGCUUUGUUUGGAAAUCAACAGGAUGCAGUCAGUGCCUGCUAAUCCCCCCACAGCCUGCCAUUUUAACUCUUACAGUGAGCAGAACACAAGGUCUUCUUACAGAAGAAAAGACCCUGAAAUGAUAGGGGUAUAGUCAGCUUCUCAAUUAUACCAGCAGUAAUUGGAAAUAACAAAUAGGGUCCAUCGGGUUGUUCCAGGGAUGGAACAUGACACAUGAAACCAACAUUGACCCUUGCGAGUACUUUGUAUAACUCAUUUUUGUGGCUGACCAUUUUGGUCAGUGUCCACAUGCAAGUACUGCAGAGUGUAUCUUCUAAUUGCAAUAUGAUUUGUUCGACCUUAAUGCAAGCAUUGUCUGUACGGCAAAAGGGGGAUUUGACGGUUGACCUGCAAGAAAGAAGCUCAUUAGGUUCAGGAGAACUACAGCUGAUUAUUUUUUGAGAAGUGCAUCUUUCUUCCUGGGAAAUGUUGUACCUCUGAAUCAGUUCACAUUCUCAUUCAAAAAUCACAUGUCUUGACUCUCGCCUAUUUUUCUGUGUGCUAUGCAAAGGAGGCGGGUGUAUUUUAAAACCUAUUUCUGAAUGAUGUUUUUAUACAAUGACUGAUUGUGAAUGAGUGAAUAAUUCUAAGAAUGGUGUUGGGGAAAAUGUGCAUCUUUUUGUAAAUGCUGCAAGGUUUGGGGAAAAAAAACCCAUCCCAUAAUGCCUUGCCUUUCUGGUUUGAUUGCUGCAUCAAAGUGUGAUAAACAGUGUUUGAAGCUUGUGCUGAUUAAUCAUCAGAAAGAUAAAUGAUAACAUUGUUUAGAAAUGGCAAAGUUGUCAGCAUGUAAAUUAGGGACAUUAAAAACAUCACACGAGAUACUGUAGCUUGUAUAUGCAGUCCUUUUUUCCAGAUGUAUUUCAAUAUUUAACCUGUUGAACAUCCACCCAGGGACAUGUAAUUCACACUAGCAAAUGGACAUGACUCCCCUUAGAGUCAUUUUGCUCUCCUUCGAAUAGAGGUGAGCCCAGGGUGCUCUCUCCAGAUCCACUUCUCCAAGCCCACCAUCAGCAAUCAGCUGCUUGCACGGAAGUCAGGUGCAUUGUCCCAGGGUUCAGUUGAUUCAGGCUUUCCAGAGCCCUCACGGCAGACCCCGCUUCCCAGCACAGGAUGGUGCAAAUGGCAACAAGGCCUCAAAAACCAACAUGGGGGGCCUCAAGGACAAGGGGCUCCAAUCCCGCUUUAAGCUCCACAAACUAACAACAAUGUUGAUGGAAGAGAGUGAUUUAAUAAAGUCUCCAGAUUUACUCACUGUGAUUUAUC
ensembl:lncRNA